rnacentral:lncRNA from 1 species
UCUUUUAACGUAUAAAAUGCUAGGUUAAACAUACUAACCUUGCACAUCAUCAUCAUAAAUACUGGAGCAGCAAGCUUGAAUAUUUGGAGAAGUUCAUUAGCAAUUAGCUGAUGAAAAAGUAAUGGCAUAACCAUUAUACCCUUUAUCUUUCAGAAAUCCAAUCAACAUAAAUCCUGCAAGUGUGCAACCACCUACCAUAUGUUUAAAGUACGCCAUUGUUGCCCAUAUGCUGCUCUAGUGAUACCAUAGUCCAAGAAUAAGCAGAGGACCACAUCACCAAUGCCAUUGAUAAGACUUGCAAUUGCCAUUGCCUUCAAAGGUCCCCACGAAUCGU